UACAGAGGGUGCGAGCGUUGUUCGGAAUUAUUGGGCGUAAAGGGCGCGUAGGCGGUGCGGUAAGUCACCUGUGAAAUCUCCUGGCUCAACUGGGAGCUUGCAGGCGAAACUGCCGUGCUGGAGUGUGGGAGAGGUGCGUGGAAUUCCUGGUGUAGUGGUGAAAUGCGUAGAUAUCAGGAGGAACACCUGUGGCGAAAGCGGCGCACUGGACCACAACUGACGCUGAGGCGCGAAAGCUAGGGGAGCAAACAGG
rnacentral:rRNA from 1 species